AUUGAACGCUGGCGGCAGGCCUAACACAUGCAAGUCGAACGGUAACAGGAAACAGCUUGCUGUUUCGCUGACGAGUGGCGGACGGGUGAGUAAUGUCUGGGAAACUGCCUGAUGGAGGGGGAUAACUACUGGAAACGGUAGCUAAUACCGCAUAACGUCGCAAGACCAAAGAGGGGGACCUUCGGGCCUCUUGCCAUCGGAUGUGCCCAGAUGGGAUUAGCUAGUAGGUGGGGUAACGGCUCACCUAGGCGACGAUCCCUAGCUGGUCUGAGAGGAUGACCAGCCACACUAGAACUGAGACACGGUCCAGACUCCUACGGGAGGCAGCAGUGGGGAAUAUUGCACAAUGGGCGCAAGCCUGAUGCAGCCAUGCCGCGUGUAUGAAGAAGGCCUUCGGGUUGUAAAGUACUUUCAGCGGGGAGGAAGGGAGUAAAGUUAAUACCUUUACUCAUUGACGUUACCCGCAGAAGAAGCACCGGCUAACUCCGUG
rnacentral:rRNA from 1 species